rnacentral:lncRNA from 1 species
UCAAUUUUUCCCCUUUCACCCCAAUACAACCCAUUUUUCUUUAAUUUAGAUCCAGGAAUUCUCAACUCUUCCAAGUAUUUUUCAAAAGCUUGACACCCACAAUCAUUUAUAAGUGAUAAGGAAAUAAAAGGAGCAAACACAAAGACAUGGCCAGAAGAAAUGAGAGAGAAAGGACCAAUGGAAUUCAUGCUUUGCUCUCGCUCAAUUUCCUCAUGGUAUACAAAUUCCUUUUUGAUUUCAGAAUUAUCUUUAGCUUUAGUUGGCUCGGGAAUUUUUUCAAACACCUUAUCUACAAGGCACAACUCUUGCCAUUUGGCCAAAACAAUAGCCCUUUGUAAGGAAUCUGGAUGCCACAAAUUCACGUAGUUCCUGAUUUCUUCCUUCAACCCAGAACCCAGUCUUCAUCAAAGCUUUCUUCAUUCCAAGUCUCUGCCCAACGUUUCAACUGCAGGAAUGAAGUCUCAUACUCAACUAUGGAGUUGAAUUGUUGGUGAUACAUGAAAUAAUUCAUCACAUAUUCGUUGUGCGUCAACUCAAAAUUCUGAAUCUCCCUUGCUGUUAAGACCCGUCGGUUCUUUGUUUCGUAGCUUCGCAAUUGAUCCACGAAAUCAGUAGUGUCUUCCGAUUGUGUGAUAAUUGCAUCCGUGGAUUGUUUGUUGUUUGAUUCCAUCAUGGAAUCUCUCAAUGAAAGCACCAUUGUUACCUAUUUAUAGUCUGGGAUAGACUUUGAUAGAAAUUAAGAGAGAUACAGAGACAAGAUAGAUUGGAAAAGAAG